GUUGAGGAGAGAAUAAGAAAUCGCCUGAGACAAAGCAGAAAAGACUCAACUUGCUUUGCAAACUUCUGUAGAAGCCGAACAAAGCCCAUCGAGUCACAAAUGUAGCAACACUAGUAACAUCUCUAGUGGCAGCAACAAGCAUAACUUAGACGCUCAGAGAGAGAAGGAGCAAAGCCAUGGCGUUUCAGUCUUUCAUAGUCAUGCCGGACUUCAAGUUUCGUAGCUCACCGGGACCAAAUUAUAAAUCCUCCUUAAUUAAUUUACACCCUCACCAAUACCAUGUGGAUCUGAGCCUCAUCUCAGCGAAAGAAAACGAUGACCUACACAGAGAAACUCACUGCUCUCAAAUCUAGAGACUCCUGCACCACCUGAACAUAAUAAACACAGAUCCAAGAAGAAAGUUUCAAAUAUACACUCGAUCUAUAAAAAAAGAGGAAAAUAAACAGCUCUCUCUCAAAUCCAAACUCCUCCACCAAAAGAACAAAAAAUAUACAACCCCACCAGAUGUGGGGAGGCGCGACCACAUCUAGUUAAGGGAAGCUGAGGGCAAUCUUCCCUGGCUGGAAGGGCAAGGAAAACCACCAUCAUGGUAGAAACUCAAGGGACUCUCAAAAAAUACAUAAUGGGGAAGAAAGAAAAAU
rnacentral:misc_RNA from 1 species